rnacentral:rRNA from 1 species
GACGAGGGAUCCUAGCGUUGUUCGGAAUCAUUGGGCGUAAAGCGGAUGUAGGUGGCCCUGUAAGUCAGGUGUGAAAGCCCAGAGCUCAACUCUGGAAGUGCAUUUGAUACUGCGAGGCUUGAGUGUGGAAGAGGUAAGUAGAAUACCUGGUGUAGUGGUGAAAUACGUAGAUAUCAGGUGGAAUACCGGAGGCGAAGGCGGCUUACUGGUCCAACACUGACACUGAGAUCCGAAAGCGUGGGGAUCAAACAGG